GACAGAGGGUGCAAACGUUGUUCGGAAUUACUGGGCGUAAAGCGCGUGUAGGCGGCAUGACAAGUCGGGUGUGAAAGCCCUGGGCUCAACCCAGGAAGUGCACUCGAUACUGUCGUGCUAGAGUCCCGGAGAGGGUGGUGGAACUCUCGGUGUAGAGGUGAAAUUCGUAGAUAUCGAGAAGAACACCGGUGGCGAAGGCGACAUCCUGGACCGGUAUUGACGCUGAGGCGCGAAAGCCAGGGGAGCAAACGGG
rnacentral:rRNA from 1 species